UGUGUGUGUGUGUGUGUGUGUGUAAAAUCUGUUGUAAUUAUUUUACAUUUUUCUCUGCAUAGCUGUCUCCUUCACCUAUAUUAGUUUAUCUGUCUUUCUGGUCACAACAGAAAUUCAAGACGUUUGGGUCCUCAGCUCAACUGACCAAGACCUUUGCUCAUUGAAGGCAUGAAGUAAUUUGUGAUGCCCCCACGAUUGCAGUUUUUAAAUCCAGAUGGCUUGCUCUUUUUAACAUGUGCGAGAGCUGGAUGGUCUUUCAACAACACUGCUCCGGGUCUUCAGCAAGAAAGGUGCUUCUCAUGCAAGGAAGAUACAGAGGAUCCUGGUGCCCAUGACUCAGGUAAAACAUGCACACUGCCAUGCAUCACAGUAAUGCUAAAAUUUCAAGAUCUAAUGUAAUGGGGAGAAGUAGGGUGUCUUGGAUCAUAUUGCAUUUCUCCCACUAAUUUCAAUCCUUCAGCCAGUUUUGAACUCAUUGUCUUCACCUCAGUUCUAACUACAGCUGGCUUUACACACAGCAGUCCUGGGCAAUGAUAUAACAGUCUUUUGCAGACUGACAACAUUGAUGUGAAGAGGGAGUGCAUGCUGAGGAGCUGACGGUCUACCUGAAUGAAGAGCCAGACAAAGUGGAUGUUGAUCUGGACGGUCCAGCUGAAACGUAUUGUCUUCGUGUGCGUGUGAUCGGCAGAGAGUCCUCAACGACAUUGGUAACGUACCUGUGGCCAUUGCAGUGUUUGUUUUGGUUUAUGCUCUUAAUCUCUGUUACCUUCCAGAAUGGAAGUACACUUUCAAAUUUCUGUUUCAUUCUAACCGUCUGUUUCAUCAGUUUUUGCACUGCUUUUAAAUGUACACUGUGUAAGAUUCUUAGUUGUUUAUUUCCAGAAUUCAUGCUACCCAUUCACUAAUGUUACCUUUUUCAUGAAUACUUAGCACCACCAUUAGGGUGCAUCAGUUGCCCCCUAUGAAAAGAUAUGGCCUUG